AUUGAACGCUGGCGGCAGGCCUAACACAUGCAAGUCGAGCGGUAACACAGGGAGCUUGCUCCCGGGCGACGAGCGGCGGACGGGUGAGUAAUGUCUGGGAAACUGCCUGAUGGAGGGGGAUAACUACUGGAAACGGUAGCUAAUACCGCAUAACGUCGCAAGACCAAAGAGGGGGACCUUCGGGCCUCUUGCCAUCAGAUGUGCCCAGAUGGGAUUAGCUAGUAGGUGGGGUAAUGGCUCACCUAGGCGACGAUCCCUAGCUGGUCUGAGAGGAUGACCAGCCACACUGGAACUGAGACACGGUCCAGACUCCUACGGGAGGCAGCAGUGGGGAAUAUUGCACAAUGGGCGCAAGCCUGAUGCAGCCAUGCCGCGUGUAUGAAGAAGGCCUUCGGGUUGUAAAGUACUUUCAGCGGGGAGGAAGGUGCUGAGGUUAAUAACCUCAGCAAUUGACGUUACCCGCAGAAGAAGCACCGGCUAACUCCGUGCCAGCCGCCGCAGUAAAAC
rnacentral:rRNA from 1 species